rnacentral:rRNA from 1 species
GCAUAUCAAUAAGCGGAGGAAAAGAAAAUAACAAUGAUUUCCCUAGUAACGGCGAGUGAAGAGGAAAGAGCUCAAAGUUGGAAACUGUUUGGCUUAGCUAAACCGUAUUGUAAACUGUAGAAACAUUUUCCUGGCACGCCGGAUUAAUAAGUCCUUUGGAACAAGGCAUCAUGGAGGGUGAGAAUCCCGUCUUUGAUCCGAGUAGUUGUCUUUUGUGAUAUGUUUUCAAAGAGUCAGGUUGUUUGGGAAUGCAGCCUAAAUUGGGUGGUAAAUCUCACCUAAAGCUAAAUAUUUGCGAGAGACCGAUAGCGAACAAGUACCGUGAGGGAAAGAUGAAAAGAACUUUGAAAAGAGAGUUAAACAGUAUGUGAAAUUGUUAAAAGGGAACCGUUUGGAGCCAGACUGGUUUGACUGUAAUCAACCUAGAAUUCGUUCUGGGUGCACUUGCAGUCUAUACCUGCCAACAACAGUUUGAUUUGGAGGAAAAAAUUAGCAGGAAUGUAGCCUCUCGAGGUGUUAUAGCCUGCUAUCAUACUCUGGAUUGGACUGAGGAACGCAGCGAAUGCCUUUAGGCGAGAUUGCUGGGUGCUUUCGCUAAUAAAUGUUAGAAUUUCUGCUUCGGGUGGUGCUAAUGUUUAAAGGAGGAACACAUCUAGUAUAUUUUUUAUUCGCUUAGGUUGUUGGCUUAAUGACUCUAAAUGACCCGUCUUGAAACACGGACCAAGGAGUCCACCAUAAGUGCAAGUAUUUGAGUGACAAACUCAUAUGCGUAAGGAAACUGAUUGAUACGAAAUCUUUUGAUGGCAGUAUCACCCGGCGUUGACGUUUUAUACUGAACUGACCGAGGUAAAGCACUUAUGAUGGGACCCGAAAGAUGGUGAACUAUGCCUGAAUAGGGUGAAGCCAGAGGAAACUCUGGUGGAGGCUCGUAGCGAUUCUGACGUGCAAAUCGAUCGUCAAAUUUGGGUAUAGGGGCGAAAGACUAAUC